AGGAUAAGUCGGCGGCUGAUUAGGUAGUUGGUGAGGUAAAGGCUCACCAAGCCUUGGAUCAGUAGGGGGGAUGAGAGUCCUUGCCCCGAGAAGGGCACUGAGACACUGGCCCUAGCCCUAAGGGGUGCAGCAGGCGCGAAAACUUUACAAUGCACGAAAGUGUGAUAAGGGAACUCCCAGUGCUAUGUCUUCGGAUAUAGCUUUUGUCGAGUCUAAGAAUCUCGGCGAAUAAGUGGUGGGUAAGACGGGUGCCAGCCGCCGCGGUAACACCUGCGCCACUAGUGGGGACCACAUUUAUUGGGUCUAAAGCGUUCGUAGCCGGAUUGUUAAGUCUCUUGUGAAAUUGUUGCACUUAAUGUAACAGCGUGCAAGAGAUACUGGCAGUCUUGGGACUGGGAAGAGGCAGAAGUAUUCUAGGGGGAGCGGUAAAAUGUUUUAAUCCCUCGAAGACUACCAGUGGCGAAGGCGUCUGCCUAGAACAGGUCUGACGGUGAGGGACGAAGGCUAGGGGAGCAAAACGGAUUAGAUAC
rnacentral:rRNA from 1 species